CGGCCGACGGCCGACGGCGUCGCGCUGGUCGCGGCGCUGCAGCCGCUGAUCGAUUUCGCCAACCGGACGCGGCUGUUCGACGCCGCCCCGGCGGAC
rnacentral:tRNA from 1 species